rnacentral:tRNA from 1 species
GCAUAUGUAGCUCAAUGGUAGAGCAGCCGCCUGAAGUGCGGUUUAUCGGAGUUCAAAUCUCUGCAUAAGCA